ensembl:misc_RNA Metazoa_SRP Metazoan signal recognition particle RNA
GCCGGGCGUGGUGGCUCACGCCUGUAAUCCCAGCACUUUGGGAGGCCGAGGUGGGUGGAUCACCUGAGGUCAGGAGAGUUCGAGACCAGCCUGGCCAACAUGGUGAAACCCCAUCUCUA